UACGUAGGGUGCGAGCGUUAAUCGGAAUUACUGGGCGUAAAGUGUGCGCAGGCGGCGUCGCAAGUCGAGUGUGAAAGCCCCGAGCUUAACUUGGGAAUUGCGCUCGAAACUACGGCGCUGGAGUAUGGCAGAGGAAGGUGGAAUUCCACGUGUAGCGGUGAAAUGCGUAGAGAUGUGGAGGAACACCGAUGGCGAAGGCAGCCUUCUGGGCCAAUACUGACGCUCAUGCACGAAAGCGUGGGGAGCAAACGGG
rnacentral:rRNA from 1 species